GGGGGGUUGGGGCCCGGGGCGGGAGGGCUGCUGAGGACGCGAAGGGUGGCGGCGGGGAGGCCGAUGCCGGGGGCGCCGCGGGGUGUGAAGGUCGGGCGCUCCCGCGAGGACCCCCAUUCUCCACGCAGCUCGUCCCCACCCGGUACCUCGGACCCAGGCCUUGCUGGAGCCGGCCCGCCGCAGACCGUUAGCCGGCGUGGUGUCCCCACCCUUAGACCCUAGGAGGAUUCGGGGCAAGCGGCUUCGGGGUGGGGCUGGGUUCUGCCAGGAGUAGUCUCUCCAGGGCUGGGCCUGAGGGGUGACCUGGGGCCGACUGCAGCGCAGGGGGUGCCAGGAUCCUAGAAGGUGCUGCGCACCCUGAAUUAACUGAGGCCCACCCUGCGUGACUUCUUCUGUGGAGGUGGUGGGUCAGGCCAGGCCCUCAGGUGUCUUCAUGGCCUCACAAACCCAAUGCUGCCCCCUGUGGCUGUGCAGAGGAGGCUGCCCAUCCUGGCCUGGCUGCCCGACUCCUCCCUUCAGUGGCUGAAGAUGGACUUCAUCCUCAGGCUCUGUUAGUGUCCAGGUCAUCCCCCAGGCACUGGCCUGUGCUGAGGUGGCCUGACUCCCACCCCAGUACAACCUCUACUCUGCCUUCACGGGUGCUUCAUGUAUUUCUUCCUGGUCGCCUCCUGGCGUGUGACUGGGUCCCACGGCCAUCAUGUCCCUCCUGGUCUCCUACGCUUCCCAUGAGCCCCAUUGUGCUGAGCUGCUGCCUUCCUGUGGGGCUGCGUGCAGUUAGCCAUGGGGUUCCUGUGCUUGGGUGAGUCUCUCGGACCUUCCUGCUGUGGGGGAGGUGGGCUGCACUUCUGCUCUUUGUGGGGUUCCGAGGCCCCUGCCUCCUGGGGAUGCCCCUGCUGUUAGCAUUUCCUUCUUUGCAUACCAAGUGCUGUGUGUGUGUGUGUGUGUAUGUUGUGAGGGGCAUGCCCUCAGCCCUCCCCUAUCCUGCUUAGAUGCCAGGACACUUGGAGAAAUGCCCAGAGCCUCAGAACCUAGCAUGCGUUUCCUGCUCUCCAAACCAGCCCAAAGAGGGCGUGUCACCACCAGUCCUUAGCCCCAGUCCCACCCACACGACUUCUCCCAGCCCACAUCCACCCAUGUCCUCUGGAACCAGACAGAGCUGUGACCAACUCAGUAUUCCCUCUUGGCUGCCCAGGGCUCCUGCUGGACUUCAUCUCCUGCCCCAUCAUUAAAGGUUUCACCUCCACUGCUACCGUCACUAUGGGCUUUAGGCAGAUCAAGGUGGGCAUCCUAGUUGACAUCAGGACCAAGGCCGGGUCCUGAGAGGUGUGGGCCAGUUGACAUCUUGCUGUUCCAGAGCUCAAAGCACGUGCUGCUCACAUGGGUCUCCGUGAAUAAAAUGACCCUUCAGGGGAGAUGUUGGGUGACGGUCAGAUUCUACAACAGGUAAUUUGAGGGACUGGUAGUGACAGCCCCGCUCUGGGUGGAGUUUUCCCGCCACUGCGCUUGGUUCCCUCACACAGUGGCUCUGUUCUGCUGCCUCUGCUACACAGUCAGCCGGCAGCCUUCACAGCUCAUGAGCGUCCUGCCAAAAUUUCCACAAGCAGAUGCUUCCCCCAUGCUCAUUUAGCUAGAUGAUUUCUUUUUUUUUUUUUUCCAGUUUCUGUUGACUAUGUUUCAAAUGCCCUGCUUCUUUAUAUUUCUAUUUAAACCUCUAUGAGAAGCUCUAGAUCAGUGAUCACUGGUUAUCCGAGGCCAUCAUGGUUUCUCCCUUCCCUGGGUCUGACGUUCCUGGGUGGCAGGAGCUGUCUUGCUCCCGACCAUGGCCGCCCAGCGCUGUGCUUGGUAUGAAGCAGGUCAGUGCUCAGGUGGGUGGGCAGAAUUGACCCCAGCUGCCUUGGACAAAUGAAGCCGUGGGGCCCCUGGUGGCAGAUGCAGGGCCAUACCCCUGCCUUGUGACCCAGUGUGCCCACUGGGGCUCUCCAAGACCUGGUUCCCACAGCCAGGCUCUGUUCCAGGCUGGCCCGUGCAGUCUUCCCUGAUGGAGGGCAGUGAGCAGAUCAAGGACAGGAGGAGGCGUGUGUGUGAGAAUCCAGCAGCUGACACUUCUUCCCUCUCACUCUGUGCUGGGGCUGGAUUCAACAGUUUCUCCGUGUUGAAUUCUCACCACACCCCUGGGAGAGAGUCAACAUACAGCCUUUUCAAAACACUGGUGGUCAAAGUGUGAGGACGGGCAGGGCAGAGGUGCCUACACAGGAGGCCGAGAACCAGAGGUCGGAUAGGAGGUAGAAAAUCCAGGGGAAUGAGGCGUCACUGAAGCAAGUAGGUGUGAAGAAAGAAUUGGUGAAGGGUCACAAGUCAGAGGUCAACUGAAAGAGUGGGAGGUUUCUGCUGGAUCGAGCAGUCAGGUGUGUUCCAGUGAAAUGGUAAGGGCAAAACCAGAUCACGUGGCUUAAAUGAGAGACCCCAACGUGUGAAAAACAAACCACUGUUGGAUUCUUUCCAGUUUUAUCCUGACAGCAUCUGUUAUUUCUGGAAUCCACUCCAACCACGAGGAGGUGAGUCCCUCCAACGCCUAUGAAGUGGAAUCUUCAGAAACGUUUAGUUUUAAAACUGGGAAUCUGGAAGAUUCAUUUCUUCAUGACUACAAAAUAUUUAUUAAUAGUUUUUCACAAACCGAUGCUUUUGAAAGAGAUAUUGUUAAUGGGGCUGUUUGGCUUUCAAUGUCAUCUUUGGGGGUGGAGCAAUACUAAAUGUGGGUCCACUUUCAUAUUCAGGGUGCAGAUCCAUGUGAUCUAAACUCUUAUACUUGUUUUCCAUUUGAUGACUUCCUUGCGUUCCCCUCCCCCUGAAUGAUGGUCAUUCUUUCCUGACACUUGUGAAUAUGUUUUUUUCAAACUUUAGGUGCCUUUUUUUUUUUAAAGGUAUGCUUUUUGGUGAGGAAGAUUGGCCCUGAGCUGACAUCUGUUGCCAGUCUUCCUCUUUUUGUCUCCCCAAAG